AUUUGCAUAUCGGGAAGCUUUCGUCCAGAAAGUCCACACCUUUCCUUGCGAAGACCCCCAACUCCACAUCCUGCAAAAGUGGUAGGCUGCAGCGCUCUUCAAAAUGAAAGUGUUGACCAUCCUCGCAGUUUUAGCAUUAGCAGGUUAUGCGGCUGCUUGCAAGGCUUCGGCCUGCAAUAGCUACUGCAAGGAACGGGGCGCCAGCGGAGGAUACUGCGAUGGGGGCACCUGGUGCACGUGCAACUAGACAAGAAACACUGGGCGGGACAUGAUGGCAAUAUAAAGUUUC